CCUGAUGUGAACUGUAGUUGCAAUAAUUUUCUAGCCAGCUUGUAGAUGUUGAAGAAAAAUCUUUACAGUAAGGAAACAUCAAACCAUACUUCCAUGGCAUGACAAAUGAUAGAACUCAUUUCUUUAUAAUGCAACAUCCAUGUUAUGUUAAUUACCACAUGUGUCGCCCUGGUACUUAAGCUAUUCCUCUGAAUUUGGUGAAAAUUAUCUCACCCUCAAGAUCUCUUGUAAAAAAAUCAACAUUUUUCGUGAUUUAAAGUUCAUUUUCCAUAAGUGUGAAAAUACAAUGUUUUUCCUGCAAACAAAUGAAAUCAGUAGUCUGUGAUUUAUUUUUAUUAAUAACAAUUGUUUGCUCGUUUGGAGCAAAGGCAUUACUGAACUGAUUUUUUUCUACUUCGCUAUAGACUAAAAAAUGUAAAGAGGAUGCAUACAGUAGGCAAUAAUCUUUGUGCAAAAAAAAAAUACAUGGUAUUUAAGCUAACUUUCAUUGAACCUGAUGAAUCAUAUAUCUGUCUAAGAUAGUUUCUUUUACAUGUACAAAUGAAAUCCACAGUUGGAAAGUAGGUAGUUUUUAUUUUCAAAUGACAACAUAUUAGGUCUUGCCUGCAUCUCCCUAUAGUACUAUUUUUAGGCUCAUUGCAAAGUACUAAUUAACAUAAAUAGUAAAAUGUGGGAAGUACAUUAGAAUGACAGGUGCUUUCUAUAUUACUACUAAGAUAUUUUUUGCAUACUUGUAUCCAAUUUAAUUGCACCAUGGAACACAUUAAGCAAAUUAUCUCUAGAGAAGGGAGGUAAUCCUGCAGGACCAUAACUUGUAUUUUAUAAUGUGCAGGCACAAUCAAAUUUCAAUGAAGUAGCACUCGCCACUCAGACCUUUCUAGUAUUUUAUAUUUAGGGAAAGCUAAUUCAAAUAUGGAACAUCUAACACUCGGCACUGCUUAAACAGAAAUACUAUAUCAUUAUAAAUGAACCUAAAAAUACUUAUUCCAUUCAAUAUUUACAAAAAAAAAAACUUUAUGCAGUUCAUGAUUAACCUCAUAAGAAUCUAUGCAAAUCAUUGUAAAAUCCAGUCUCUCAAAAUAUGGCAGUUGCUUAUGUAUACGAACCUAAGAGGGUGUUUUAAUGGCUUUAACAUUUGCACCUUUAAGAACUGCCCCGUAUAUAUCGGAAUGGUGGUAUAGGAAUGAGCCAGUUAGGUUCUCCUGGUCCUUCAAAUCUAUAUCAAAUAUCAGAACUGCUUGAGCCAUCUGGACACCAUGGCUUUCCCUGUUCAGAAAUAUGAACUAAUGAUUAUCUACCUAAAACAAAAUACGAUGGCUGAGUCAAUAAGGUUCUCAUCAUAGCUUAACAUCUAUAUUUAAAAUCUGAACCUUUUGGACUAUCAAGGAAAGUGUGGGUAUCCAUGUUCUUAAGUACCAACUAAUCAUAUGAAUCAAUGUUCACAUACCUCUAAAAGAAAAUGAAUAAAUCGUAUAUUGGCUUAUAAUCCCCAGGUGUUCUAAUUGCAAGAACACAUGAUAACUACAGCAAAGUCCACCUCCCCAUUCGUCUCUGCAGCUCAACUGCUAGAAAAAGGCACACAAAACUGCAAGCAUAAAUAGAUUUUCUCAGCUCUAUCCAAUGUCAAUAAAAUGCUUCUGGAAGUUUGCAUGCAACUAAACAACACAAAACAGGUCUUCAUCCAAUGGAGGGAACCAAAUAAAUUACCUCCAGAUAAUUUGUCGAGGCAGAUGUCGUGACCGUAAAGAAGUGGACUCCCAGGGUGAGGUCGUUGGCCUGAUGUUGUUCAGUCCUCAUAUGCCACAUAAAACAAAUAUUUAGCAACAACAGUAAGGAAAGGGAAGCAUCGUUCUGCUAGAGCCUACUGCUUAGAAGAAUCUGAACAAACAUCAGUAUUGCAAAGUUAAUAUAAACAUACAACAUGCAUGUGUGUACACAUACAGACUAUCUGCAAGCAAUUUUUUUGCAUCAUCUUGGAAAUUUACUCAUACACAUAGUUAGCAAAAAAAUCAAGUAAUAGGAUCGGCAACACAAAGUAAUUUAGAUUUACUUUGAAACUUCACGAAGCACUACUUAGAAGCAUUUGAACAAAUGUCAAUUUGCAAAAUUGAUAUAAACAUACAACAUGCAUGUCUGUACACAUAUAUACAGACUAUCUGCAAGCAAUUUUUUGCAUCAUCUUGCAGAUUGACCAGCUCAAGCCAUAUAACUGAAGCAACAUACAGGACAUUGGCAUCUCGAUCUGAUUUUGAUCCCCGGAAUUCCAGAAACUUGAUGUGAUGAUGGAUUACUUUUAGUCGCCCUUCACGACCACCUAUGAGUACACACUGCAAUGCAUCUCAAACACAUCCAGGCAUGUAUGUAAACUGUUUUCUACAGCAGGGCCAGACUAUUAAAAUCAUCUAGAACAUUAUACCGACUAAAGAGUAAUACACACUGCAAUGCAUCUCAAACACAUCCAGGCAUGUAUGUAAGCUUCUUUCUACAGCAGGGUCAGACUAUAUUAAAAUCAUCAAGAACUUUGUACCAAGUAAAGAGUAAUCAUCAAAUACCAAGUAAAGAGUAUUGCCGAGAAUUAGACCGCUUUCUACCCAACUUGCAGCCUUUAUCUCCCCUGCUUGGGUAUCUAGGCAGUCCAAAAUAGUACAACUUCGAAUUUAGUGAGCUGCAUUGCAUCCUUCAACCAAGGAACGGCCAUUGCUAUCCCAUCUAC
rnacentral:lncRNA from 1 species